rnacentral:sRNA from 1 species
GCCAGGUGUGGUGGUGCAUGCCUGUAAUCCCAGUGGCUUGGGAGGCUGAAGCAGGAGGAAUUUGAGUUCAAAACCAGCCUCAG